UACGGAGGGUGCGAGCGUUAUCCGGAUUUAUUGGGUUUAAAGGGUCCGUAGGCGGGCCCGUAAGUCAGUGGUGAAAUCUCGCAGCUUAACUGCGAAACUGCCAUUGAUACUGCGGGCCUUGAGUGGAUUUGAAGUGGCUGGAAUAAGUAGUGUAGCGGUGAAAUGCAUAGAUAUUACUUAGAACACCGAUUGCGAAGGCAGGUCACUAAGGUCCAACUGACGCUGAGGGACGAAAGCGUGGGUAGCGAACAGGAUUAGAUACCCUGGUAGUCCACGCCGUAAACGAUGCUAACUCGUUUUUGGGCCGCAAGGUUCAGAGACCAAGCGAAAGUGAUAAGUUAGCCACCUGGGGAGUACGUCCGCAAGGAUGAA
rnacentral:rRNA from 1 species